ensembl:lncRNA
ACACAGGCAAGAGGAAACUGUUUUUCUACCCAUUUUAUAAAAGAUUUUUUUACAUUUUAGUCGCACUGCAAGGCAUGUGGGCUCUUAGUUCCCUGACCAGGGGUUGAACCUGUACCGCCUGUGGUGGAAGUGUGAAGCCUUAACCACUAGACUGCAGGGUUCUUUCUGUGAGCCUCUGUGAGAGGCAAACUCCCUUAACCCACCUGUCUAAAAUGCCAUUAUUUCUCUUUCACUUGAGAAGAAUUAUCUUACUUGAUAGAGACUUGUAUUCUGACAGUCAUUUAUCUUCAAGACUUUGAAAGUAUUUAUUAUGUUCUGCUCUCUGGUUUUUGUAGUGGCCACGGAUACAUCAUUUGUCAAUGAUACUGUUCUUCUAUUGCCUUUCAGGUUUUUCUUUUUAUCUGAGAAAUUUUGUAGUAAUCAUUUAUCUAUUUUGUAGAAUCACUGUUAUGUGUCUGGAUAUGGAUUUACUUUUAUUUAUUCUUCAUCAGCCUUCUCUGAUUUUGAAAUUUAUGUAUUUCAUCAUUUCUGGGAAAUCUCAUCCACUGUGUUCA